GCGGUUCCUACCUGAAAAACUCAUUCAGUGAGGAGGGCAUAUGGAACCGUUUACAAGCACAAACAAGGUAAAAUCUAUUAUACCUACAAAUAUAUUUGAGUGAGGGGACAACGAUCUCAAUCGUCAAACAAAGAUUUCAGAAUACAUGUGAUUCUGAAAUUAGAGUGAUCAUCUCUAACAGAGAUCAAGGUUGAAUCUUCAGUCACUUGGGUCAAACAAGGAUUAACUCUAGGGGUGCUUCUCUUUGGUUGCAAAUUAUCAGGGUGUGUGUUCUCUUUGAUGGAAAAGAAUGGAAAGAAAUUAUUUUCCAGUAUUUUCCACCUUUUUCACAUAUUUUCUAGAUUAUAUAAUUUUCCCUGAUCAUGACAAAAAAAAUUCUUGGACACGUCUUUUUCCUCAUUUUCACUGCAAUUGUAGAUAAAGAAGAAUGAGUGUGAUAAACUUUUUUUUCCACCCUAGAGAACUGAGAUAAAAAAGGUAGAGACCACUAAAAUAUGAUAAAAUUUUUCCAUAGAACAUAAACUUAUAAGUUAAUGAGGGAUAAAAUGAUAAGAAAACUUUAUCACAUUUCAGUACCCCACCUUUUUAUCUUAUGUUCUGAAAGGUAGAGAAACAUGGAAAAAUAUUAUCACAAAUAUACCCCAUGUUAAUAUUAUCCUAAAUUGAAAUGAAAUAGAGGGAAAGGGGCUGCCUGGAAUAUAUGUUUUCCACCAGUUUUCAUUAAAGAGAACGCACUCUAGAAGACGGAUGUUAAGCAUCCGCAGCCACAAUAAUGUUUUGCCUAAUGGUCCAAUUAGAAAAUGGCAUUGGUAGCUGUUAACUAAUAAACAUUUUCAUCAGCAGAAUUUUCUUCUACAAACCAACACAGAAUGAUAGGCACACAAAGACAGGAAAACACAUCAAUUCACACAAGGGAAGAGAGAGAGUCUAACCACAGUGUCUACCAAAGGCAAAAUCAGUGGAUGUUCAAGCAUCAAGCCUCCAGCCACAUUUAAAGUUAUUCCCUCCUCAAUCUGAGAAAACUUAGUAAAGUUAAUUAAGCAACAUGAAACUUCUUAAAACCUUUUUCUCCAAACAAUUACCAAGCUAUCAAUGACUUCAUCAGGUAUCUCUAGGAAAUAAACCUGCAUUAGAAAUAAAAUCAAAGUUAGAUUAAAUAAGGUCCAAAAAUGGAGUGUUAAGGAGUCCCUAAGUGUGUGUGUGUGUUGGUCUAGUGAUAGUGUGGUUGGUUAAUGCAUGAGGCCAAAGGUCUCAGGUCCCGAGUCUACUGUCACUCGGCUUUUUAAAAUAUUUGUUUCUUCUACCCCCCAAAAAAAGGGGAGUCCAUAACAUUUUGCAGUUAGUUUCACCAUGGUUAGAAGUCAAGAGAUAUGAUGCACGAAAGCAUAGAUAGCAAUGGUUACUGAACUCAUGCCAACUGACACUCCAACAAUCACAUGGUUAAGAAUAGAAGAUUUUCAGAAAUGCAAGUUAUUUGGUUUCACUUAUGUCCAAGUUACUCAAAAUUUCCAGGUAAGCUUUGCAUGAUACAUGUUAGAUGACUCUCUGAGUUUGGUUUUCUUGCUUAUGAUGUGGCAAACCAAGAUAAUACAAUUUGGUGCUAGUCAUAGCUAUGGCACUUUUCAAGCACAAGGAAAAGAAAAAUUGUGCAGAGCCUACUGAAUCUUGUUUCCUAGAAGUAGUAGGUUUUGGUUUCUAGUUUAAAACAUCAAGACAGCAAAAAUAGAAUCUUGAUUCCUAGAUUGAAAAAAUUAGAUGCUGCUUCCCAUUUAUUCACAAAAAAGCUCCUGGAACAAAUUGUUAGUGACAUCAUUAAUUUUAUAAAUUACAUAAAAAUCAAAUCUCAAUUUAUCAAGCUUUGAGUUUUAUGUAAUUAAUGAUAUCGAUAAUAAUUAUUUAUGUAAUAAAAUCAAAAUUAAAUGCGUAAAAAAAUAGUGCUAAAUUUGGAUUAAACGUGAGUUGUGCUCACGGUAAGUAUGUAGCAUAUCACACUAUGAAACAAUAUCUGAGAAGUACCUCUGCACUCUCCCAUCCUCCUUUUCGACUACCUGUCACUAAAUUAGUUACAACUACUGACCCCACAACUUUGCCUGAACCACCAGAAUAGUCUGUAAAAAGUAAUAUAACUGGAAGAAUUAGCUAAUAUUUAGGAUAGGAAUUUCUGAUAAAAGUUAAUAAAGCAACCUCUAAUAAACUUUCGUGCUUCUUCCUCACUUGAUGGCUUUUCUCUAAUAGCCCCUUGAUACACCACCACCUUAAUACCAAUUAAAUGAAAAUUACAACUUAAACUUCAAAUUAUCUGCUCCCAACCAUGGGAAGACCAUUAGAACAAUGCAUAUCAGAGUUCAUGGAUUUAUCAGUGUUUUCGACGAUGUUGAACAAGACGAAAAAAAGACAGAACCGAAAAAAAGGUAGGUAAAGAUAGAUCACAGAGAAUGCACCCUACACCUAAGCACCAAAUUCAACAAAAUUUUAGAAAGGAAAAUAUUGCAUGAAUAGAUCAAAAGAAGUGAAUUUGUGCAAUACCCAUUGUUAAGCAGAGAGAAAGAAAUGAAGACAAAGAUAAAAACUAAAAUUGGCUAAACUUUGACUCCCCAUGUGAAUGUUAAUAUUAUUCUUAUUUGAAUGAGUAGAAUAUUUUCUAUAAUAGCUAUUUCAUGCAGGCUUAGGUCUAAAACUGAAUUAUCUACUGAAACUAUAUGAUCUUGCUUUAUGUUUAGAUAAUUUCAGAAACUUGGAUUGAACUUUUGACAUAGAUUCCCACUUAGAUAAUUGUACCCUAAUUUAUUUCUUGUUCUCUAUUAGAAAAUCGAAACAAACAGCAUGGCAAAUUUACAUAUAGAGUAAAAAAAUUUACUUCCCUUGCAUAAAUAGGAGACUCAUCUAUAAAUGAAGAAGUAGAGUUAAACUAACUUGAUGUUUAUAUUGAAGCCUUACUUCAUACAGAAGAUUUCAACACAUCAAUUCAGAAGUGCAGUUUCCUUCAAAUAAAAAUAUGACUGAAUCCUCAUUAACUAAAGAACUUAGAUAUUGAUUAAUAUAUUCCUACCAUUUUUGUAAUUUGGAUGUGAAGUCUUUUCUAUAAUGGCAUGGAUGUUAAGCUAUAUUACUCCUACCAUUUUUUUAAUUAAAAGAAUAUUACAUUGUGGGUAAGAAUUUUUGUCCACAUCAAGCUUCAACAUGCAUAGAGGUGUCAACUAGUUUGUCAUAAACCGGCCCAAGCCCAGGCCCAGUAUGGGCCUGUCCAGGACUGGCUUAUGAGAUCAGAUGGAUUCAACUAGCUGGGCUAAUAUAGGCAAAGUGGGCUCUGGGUCUUUUUUAGAUCCAAAACCAAGACCCAUGUGAAGCCCAUCCCAAGCCCGACUCAAGUUAUGUACUCCCUCCGUCCGCCAAAAGUAUUCCACUUUGGCUGGGCACGGAGUUUAAUAAAAUUGGAGAUGAUGUUGAUGUAGUGGAGAAAGGGUCCCAACACUUUAUGAUAUGUGUGGUUGAGAUUGAAUUUGGGAUGAGUUUUUUGUAAAUAAAGAGUGUUUGUAAGAAUAAAAUAUAAAGGUGGAUGGUGGGACCAUGACUUAAAAAGGAAAGUGGAAUACUUUUUGCGGACGCCAAAUAUAGUAAUUGUGGAAUACUUUUGGCGGACGGAGGGAGUAUAUAAAUAAGAAAGGACUGGCCCAUGCGAUCAGAUGGAUUCAACUAGCCGAGCUAACAUAGGCAAAACGGGCUCUGGGUCUUUUUUAGAUCCCAGACCCACGUGAAGACCAUCCAAGCCCUACUCAAGUUAUGCAUUUUAAAUAAUUUAUAAUUUAUAUUUUAAAACAGUACCCUAUCCGGUGCAUCACACUAGAAUCAAAUAUUAUGGACUAUAAUUAAUUUAUAAUUUGAAAGAUAUGUAAAAUGUGUAAUUGGCUUUCGAACUGAGUUGUACAGAACAUUGAUUCUAAAACCCCCUAUACAACAACUUACAAGUUAGCAAAGACCUGUUUAGAAAAGGAAACAGAAAAGAAAAAAUAUAGAUAAAUAGAAUAAAGAAAGUAUCAGCAUACUGUAUCAGCAGUUAUCAGCAGGGUAGAACGUGACAUUUCCUCCACUUGAUCACAACUCUUGAGCUUCUUCAUAAUAGCAUCAGCCUAAAAAGUGAAAUGAUAGAAGAAUCAUUGAACUGCAUGCGACUAAACAUACAUAAAAUUCUUUUAAGGUAAGCUUCAGAUCCUUGAAAUAGGAAAACAUGAAAGAGUUCCAUUGCACUAUCAUAUUACCAAAUUUUUGUAGUUUCUACUCCUAAAAGUAAUUCUGAUGUCGACAAGCAUAUUAAAAGAGAUGCAAAGCAAAUUAUGUAACAACACCCUAAUCUAAGAUUCUAAAUAUAAAGGGUUAACCUUUGACAGUUAAAAUUUAAUAAUAUAUUGAAUGCGGACAGUGAGGUACAUUUUUGGAUCUUCAUUAUCAUUGUUUUAGUUUUAAAAAAUGCACCUCAUUUUCCGCAUUAAAUAUUUAAAAAAUUGAACUUUCAAAGGGUUAACACUUUAUUUAGAUUAGGGUGUUACAAGUUAAGCACUUUAAGCCAGAUCCAAUGAUGGUUUAUAUAUGCAAAUCCAACAUUGUCUAGGUUAAGAUGGUGUAUUAGUAAUUAAUUCCAAAGUUCAUAAAAAUGAUAUAUUCUUUAAGUCCAUGAAACUAUUUGGAUUGACAACCCCCCAAUAGAUCUAUGUGGAUUGGCCAUCAGCGACAAAGUUUCUUUUAAACAGAAGUUCCAAAAUAUAAUAAUGACAGAUGCUAAAAAACGGACAGAUGCUCAAAGGUCUGUUUCUUUCUGGCUCCAUAUUCACACAUAAAUUUAUACACCAAACAAAAUGUUAUUCUGGUCUUCAUUUUCAGUAAUCAAUACAGAUAUACAACACAAAACAUUUUUUCAGCGCACAAGGUUUGGCAUCAAAGAACAGAAGUAGAGGAAUUCUUUCAUAUGAAGUAUGAAAACACCUUAGCACUUAAGAGUUAGAGGUUUAUCAGAAAUAAAUAUUCUCAUGUGAUAAAAUUUACUAAAAGUAUACGAAAUGUUGUUCAAAGCACAUGAUAUACUGCAGCAGGAAAACUUGUAAUUCAUAUUUUGCGAUGAAGAUUCAAAAUGCUAAACAUAUACGCAUCUAUCAAACACCUUUGCUUCAGCUAGGACCAUCACAAGGUCUUCAGGUCUUUCCUUCCUGAUACUUUGCUCAUCUAUAUCUGCACUCUAAAUGCCAAAAGGAAAAAGAAACAAAAAAACAAAGAGAAAAACUUAAAUUUUAUGUAUUCAUAAAAAAGAUACGAGCAAUAUUAUUUACCAUUGCAUUAAUUCACAUUUCCUACCGUUCACAUGAUAGUACAGAACUUUUGAAAAUUCUGAAGUUCUCAAAGUUGUACAUUUAUGAUGAGUUAUGAACAUUUAAAAUUACACUCACGGGUACAUGUUCACAUUUAAGGAUUUUGGUUUUUGUUAAGAACAAUAUAUUCAUUAAAUUAAUAAAUUUAUGAAUAUCAAUCAUGAUGCCUAUAAGUGUUAGAAUUAUGUAGAGAAACUCAUAUGUGAAUAUAUAACAAUUUGAUACUAAAGUUUGACGAUAAUUGUAAUAGUUGUUAAUCACUUUGUUUCUAUUUGGAAGUCAAAUUUUACACUUUCCUUUUGUUCUUUCCAUAUCCCCUAGUUAUUUUUCCCUCAUCAACUAUUGUUUGAUGGUAAUAGUACAUUCUUUAUCAAUAUUAAAGUUUCUAAUUGUAUUAUAACAAUGUUAUCAUUUUUUUCAACAAAUGAAAAAGAAUAUGAAUAUAAAAUCAUCUAUGAGAUUGAAAUUGGAGUUGUAAGAAUAAAAUAUGAGGACCAUAUCUUUUAUCUCUUUAUUUAUUUAUUUUUGUUUAUUUCAAUAAUGAGAGAGGAGCAACAUUAUGGAUCAUCAAUAAGUAACUUAUACAUGUCAAAAAAUCUACCCGGCAGUUCAAUAGUGCUGACCUGAAACCAAGUCGCCUAGCCUGAUUUAUAUCCCUAUGUGAAAUAAUUGUCUUUACAUCCGUCAUAACUAGAGGUACCAUAAGGCAUAAGGUCAGUGAGAAUCUGAUUCUCUUUACACCAACAAUUACCAGAUUACAACAGGCCAAUCAGAUCAAACCCACACCACUAAUAAGCGGUAUUCUAAUCCCAGUAUUCUAUUUUUUAUUCCUAUAAAAACGUCAAAUUAUUGGUUUUUUUGCGAGAAUUUUUGUGCAAAAGCCUCUACCAUCAAACCGAAUUAUAGAAAAACUGUCUUCUAAAAAUUUCAAAAACCUAAUUUUAUCAAAUACACAUGAUAUACAUAUAGGUGAUAUGAAAACUAGAGAUGUAAACAACAUUCAUACAAAGAAUCCGAUGGCGCAAAAUUAGCAGUUAAAGCAAAAUGUAAAAGAAAUUACCAUGAUUGUGAACUCAUAGCCCAUCUCAGCCAGAAUCUCCCGACGCGCCUUCGAGGACGAACCCAAAAUUAUCUUCCCGGAAGAUAAAAGCAUCGAAAUUCAAGCAAGAGUUUAGCCAUUGAACAUUAAACAACAAGAGCUUAACUGUACAAACGAAAUCUAUUUCAGAUCAUUGAAAUUAAAACAGAAAGAAAGAAAAACCUCGAAAUUCUGGUUUUUGGGAGGGAAUCUGAGGUGGCUGUCGUCCAUCGGUUUAGCGUAGAGGAUAAGCACGGCGUCGGAGGGGUUAUGAGGAAAAUGCCGCCAACGCCUACUUUGAACUAACGGCUACAAUUCAUUUGUAUACUAGUAUUGUACCCGCGCUACGCACGGUCCAAUAAUUCAUACAUAUUUGUAAUACAUAAUAGAAAUACUAUAAAAGUAUUUAAGUGAUACAAAAAAUAAAAGCUUUUUAUUUUGAGUCAUUUUAUAUUACUCCCUCCGUCCCACAAAUUUUGAAUCAUUUUAUUUUUUCGCAAAAAAAAUAUUCUUUCUUCACAUUUUCACUUUUUCACCUACCACACUAAACACACUAAAUAUCAUUUUUUAAAACUAUAUAACAUGAGUAAUUAUACAUCUAAAUUCGAUUAUUAUUAUUAUUAUUAUUAUUAUUAUUAUUAUUAUUAUUAUUAUUAUUAUUAUUAUACAGAUACGCAGCACUCUAUUUUCAUAUCUCACAGACACGCACACGCGGCGAGGCUGCACAUGUAGCGCCGCCUCCGUCUCCACACCCGNCUAAUUACGUAUUAUUAUUAUUAUUAUUAUUAUUAUUAUUAUUAUUAUUAUUAUUAUUAUUAUUAUUAUUAUUAUUAUUAUUAUAAUACAGAUACGCAGCACUCCAUUUUCAUAUCUCACAGACACGCACACGCGGCGAGGCUGCACAUGUAGCGCCGCCUCCGUCUCCACACCGCCGCCGCAAUCACCAUCUCCCGCCUUCGACCACUUCAUUGAAAAGAACCCCGAAUCCCUCAAUCCCUAAUUUGCUUCUCCCUUCUCAGUCUCCCUCUUUCCUCUUGGCAAGCACCGCCGCCUCUGCCCUCACUCAGCCGGACGGUCGCGGCGAAGAAUCGCCGCCUUCUCUUUCCUUCCCUGCUUCGACCAACCGCAUCCGCCUUCUCUUCUCCGGCGUAUAGCAUCGCCGUGCCCUCACUCCCUGAUGAGAUAGACUGGUAUUUGUACCAAUCAAUUUCUUGGAGUACUUUAAAGCUGAAAGUUCACAUAAAAUGAAAUCAGAUGGACCAGUAUUUAUGCUACUCAAUUUCUUGGAGCCAAAGUCUGUAUUAUCAUUUGUUUCAUGGAUAAUGUUGUAUUUCAAUGGAUAUUGACCUGUAGCAGCACAAUGGAUAAAAGUCAGGACUGAAGCUAUUACCCAGCAGAUAGAAAAAUGUUGAGAUAUCCAUUGGAUCAUAAAAUGCUGCUCUUGGCGGGAAAAAAUAUUGUGCCAAAACUGUGCAUUAAUAUACUAUACAAAAAAAUUAAUAAAAUUUAUUAAAUCAUUUACAGGCCCAAAAUAAUAAUUAAGUCCAAGAAGAUAAUUUGAGGAAAAGCCUACAAUGACUUAAUAAGGCCUAAACAUAAUAUAUAUAAACUGAGCCCAAACUUUAUAUUAAACAGCAGCCCAUUCAGAUAUAAAAAUCGGCCCAUUGGAUUUAAUAAAAGAGAGCCCAAAAUAAAUAAAAAUAAAAGAAACCCUAACCUAAAAUAAAAGAAAAUACUAGAAUUAAAAAUAAAAACAACUCUCCUCACUCUCUCUCUCUCUCCUCUCACCGGUUCUCUCUCUCUCUCUAACUCUCAUCUCACGCUCCCUCUCCCUCUCCCUCUCUCGCACUCUCGGCCGCCCUCUCCUGCCCAGCCGCGCCGCCGCCGCUGCAACAACUCCGGUGAGGCGAUCUCGCUGUCAGCCUUCUCACGCCACCCCCCUCCCUCGCGCCCUCUGCAGCGCACGGCCAAGAAGGGCCGCCGCUGCUGCUCCACUCCGGCCGUGACCGGCCGUGCCGCCUUGUUCGGCGUCACCUUGCCCAGCCGCCGUUCGCCUUCUCCCUCUUUUCCUCACGCGAAUCCGGCAGCAGCCGGCCCAGAAGGGGGCCACCGCGCCGCCACCCUCUCCGACAGGCGGUGCUUAUGCAACCACCAAAAGAAAGGAACGGGAAUCCCCUUCUCACACUCUCACGCUCCAGACCCAUCCCAACAAAGAAGAAAGAAUGUGAAAGGAAAGAUUUGUUCUUGAGAUAAAAAUUGAAUCUUGGUGAAGGAAAGCUUGGAACUUGUUGAGUUGCCUGUUGUUUUACACAGAUUUGUCUCAGUCUUGUCUUCUUCAUUUCUGAGAAGUUAAUAUGUUUUACACAGAUUUGUCUCAGUCUUGUCUUCUUCAUUUCUGAGAAGUUAAUAUGUCUCAGUCUUGUAUUACCCAGCGGAUAAACAAAUUUUGAGAUACCCAUUGGAUUAUAGAAAGCUGCUCUGGGCGGGAAAAAUUUGUAGGCCAAAACUUGACAUUAAUAUGCGGUAGAUAAGGCUGUAGAAUAAAUCACAAUCUAAUUUCGAAAUUUUUAAAACUCGUAAUCCUUCACAUAAAACUAGUCAAUAGUCAACUAUCCUUUCUAGCUCUUACCAACAUUACAACAUCCAUUCCACUAAAAAAAAAAAAAAGACAUAGAACAUCCACGUUGGUGCUAUCAUAGGGAAUAUAUGUAAUCAUGAGUGCCAUAUUUAUUGCCACAUUAAUAACUUGUAGACGCUUCUUGUAGUUGUCUUCCAGCGUAGUUGUUUUUGUGGUCUCCGAUGUGGGGUGUUUGUAGUAAUUCAUUUUGUAUGAACUUGAGGGUAAAUUCUACCCCGCACAAAGGUGCCCAAGUACACUCAUACUUGAUUGUCGGCAUGUGUCCUUACACUAUUUAUGAAUUUUGAAUUUUCUUUUGUAGAGUUGAGUUAACGCUGUUAACUCCUUCCGUGAAGGCAUCAUUAAGUUCUCGGGGCACGUUAUAAUUCGGCAUCAGAAUUGGGCAACUUAUGCUGGCAAAACCUCCGCCCAACCUAAAAUUUUUUAUUUUUGGCGCCCUUUUUGGAAUGACACUUUUUUAUUGAUAUAUUUACGAGACUCUUGGACUACUUUUCUUUUCUACGAAUCUAUCAGGUCAUUUUGAAACUCUUCAUUGUUUUCAUAUCAAAAUUAAAUCGCAAGCUCCGUAAGCUCGAAUUUUGGAAUUUAAAUCGUGAGGUUGUUGUAUCAUUUGUAAGGGCCGCGAAUUUUUGUGUUCUUAAUCCACG
rnacentral:lncRNA from 1 species